CUAUUUACAAUAUACGUAUAUGUAUAUUAUACUAAUAGAUGCUACAUAAGUGUGGCUAUGGUAAUAAACGUUAUUUGUAAUAGAAGUAUUGGACCCGGGGGCGGUACCCGGCGCCUCCACCAUUUUUAGAAAUUUAUGGGGGCGAAAUAGGAUCGACAAGCUUAAUAAAGAAAUAAUUUUUACCCAGGAUGAUUCCGCUGAAAAUGGGUCAAAAAAAGUAAAUGCAAACGAUAAUCGUUCUUUUGCGGCUGCUGCUUAAUUGUAGAUAGCCACGGGGUUUUGAGGCUUUUCCUUGCAACAGAAAAAGUCUCACU
rnacentral:tmRNA from 1 species